AUGGCGCAUCCGCCCCCGCGGAACUGGGCCAUGGCGCCGCCGUACCACUACCACGGGACGUCGCAGCAGGAGCAGGCGGCGCCAGCCGCGGAGGACGAGAGCGGAGCCGGGUCCGGAGGGCAGGAGGCGGAGUCGAGGUCACUCCGGAUCCGCGAACUUUUCCCCUGGAUGGACGAGGACUACCUGCGCAGCUGCUUCACCCGCUCGCCCGAGCUUGUGACAGCAGUGAUAACGCGGAACAAGGAGACCAAGCAAUCUGAGGGUUUCGGUUAUCUUACCUUUUCUGACCAUGCCACUGCUGACCAAAUCCUCCAGAGCUACAAUGGCCAGAAGAUGCCUAAUGCUGACAGGGAUUUCAGCCUCAGCUGGGUCCAGUAUGCUGGUCCUGAUGAUGAUUGUGCCAUAUAUGUUGGGGGAUUGGGCUUUGAUGUUACAGACUUCAUGCUACACCACGUGUUCAAGAAUCGCUAUCCAUCAGUUAAGAGGGCAAAAGUUAUAUGGGAUUUUCUUGCUAGACGCUCAAAAGGCUAUGGGUUUGUUGUGUUUGGAGAUGUCAAUGAACGCACACAAGCAAUGACUGAAAUGAAUGGAGCAUACUGUUCUUCUAGGCCUAUGCGUAUCGGACCUGCUACCUUCAAGAGUGAUUUUCGUACACAAGGGACAUAUUCUGAUUCUAACCAGAACAAUAGCAGACUUUUUGUUGGUCAACUUGAUUCAUGUGUGACUGAUGAGGAUCUAGAUAAAGCCUUCAGUCCUUAUGGAGAGCUUACUGUCAAGGUAAUAGAGGGGAAGAACUGUGGCUUCGUCACAUAUUCGAGCAGGGCAUCAGCUGUGGAGGCUAUGACAAUUCUAAAUGGAAGCCAGCUGGGAGAUAAUAUCAUAACAGUUAACUGGGCUCGUCCUGCUCCUAAGAAGCAGGAUCAAUGGAAUGGUGUGGACCAUGGACACCCUCAAAGCUCUGGUCCAGGUUAUGGUUGCUGUCCCGAGGAUCCUAACAUUCUUGGUUACACAGGCCAUCCUGGAUAUGCAUAUCACCAACAGCAGCAGCCACAGCAGACCCCAGUACAGUGA
rnacentral:rRNA from 1 species